CAAGCGGUGGAGCAUGUGGUUCAAUUCGACGCAACGCGAAGAACCUUACCUGGGCUCGAAGCGCAGUGGAAUCCGGUGGAAACAUCGGCGCCCCUUAAAAGGCCGCUGCGGAGGUGCUGCAUGGCUGUCGUCAGCUCGUGUCGUGAGAUGUUGGGUUAAGUCCCGCAACAAGCGCAACCCUUAUCCCUAGUUGCCAUCGGGUCAUGCCGGGCACUCUAGUGAAACUGCCUCGGAUAACGAGGAGGAAGGUGGGGAUGACGUCAAGUCCUCAUGGCCUUUAUGUCCAGGGCUACACACGUGCUACAAUGGUCGGUACAAACCGUCGCAAACCCGUGAGGGGGAGCUAAUCGGAAAAAGCCGGCCUCAGUUCGGAUUGGAGUCUGCAACUCGACUCCAUGAAGCUGGAAUCGCUAGUAAUCGCGGAUCAGAACGCCGCGGUGAAUACGUUCCCGGGCCUUGUACACACC
rnacentral:rRNA from 1 species